rnacentral:rRNA from 1 species
CAGCCGCCGCGGUAAUACCGGCGGCCCGAGUGGCGGCCACUCUUAUUGGGCCUAAAGCGUCCGUAGCCGGGCUGGUAAGUCCUCCGGGAAAUCUGGCCGCUUAACGGUCAGAAUGCCGGAGGAUACUCCCAGCCUAGGGAGCGGGAGAGGCCGAGGGUAUUCCCGGAGUAGGGGUGAAAUCCUAUAAUCCCGGGAGGACCACCUGUGGCGAAGGCGCUCGGCUGGAACGCGUCCGACGGUGAGGGACGAAGGCCAGGGGAGCAAACCGGAUUAGAUACCCGGGUAGUCCUGGCUGUAAACGAUGCGGACUUUGUGUCGGACAAGCUAUGAGCUUGUCCGGUGCCGGAGGGAAACCGUUAAGUCCGCCGCCUGGGGAGUACGGCCGCAAGGCUGAAACUUAAAGGAAUUGGCGGG